GUCUAUGGCCAUACCACCCUGAACACGCUCGAUCUCGUCUGAUCUCGGAAGCUAAGCAGGGUCGGGCCUGGUUAGUACUUGGAUAGGAGAAGAUUAGCAUGUUGUUUAAG
rnacentral:rRNA from 1 species